rnacentral:rRNA from 1 species
GGUGAAGCCCAGCUUGCUGGGUGGAUCAGUGGCGAACGGGUGAGUAACACGUGAGCAACCUGCCCUCCACUUCGGGAUAAGCCUUGGAAACGGGGUCUAAUACCGGAUAUGAGCUCGCAUCGCAUGGUGUGGGUUGGAAAGUUUUUCGGUGGGGGAUGGGCUCGCGGCCUAUCAGCUUGUUGGUGGGGUGAUGGCCUACCAAGGCGUCGACGGGUAGCCGGCCUGAGAGGGCGACCGGCCACACUGGGACUGAGACACGGCCCAGACUCCUACGGGAGGCAGCAGUGGGGAAUAUUGCACAAUGGGCGCAAGCCUGAUGCAGCGACGCCGCGUGAGGGAUGACGGCCUUCGGGUUGUAAACCUCUUUUAGCAGGGAAGAAGCGCAAGUGACGGUACCUGCAGAAGAAGCGCCGGCUAACUACGUGCCAGCAGCCGCGGUAAUACGUAGGGCGCAAGCGUUGUCCGGAAUUAUUGGGCGUAAAGAGCUCGUAGGCGGUCUGUCGCGUCUGGUGUGAAAUCCCGAGGCUCAACCUCGGGCUUGCAUCGGGUACGGGCAGACUAGAGUGCGGUAGGGGAGACUGGAAUUCCUGGUGUAGCGGUGGAAUGCGCAGAUAUCAGGAGGAACACCGAUGGCGAAGGCAGGUCUCUGGGCCGCAACCGACGCUGAGGAGCGAAAGCAUGGGGAGCGAACAGGAUUAGAUACCCUGGUAGUCCAUGCCGUAAACGUUGGGCACUAGGUGUGGGGCUCAUUCCACGAGUUCCGUGCCGCAGCUAACGCAUUAAGUGCCCCGCCUGGGGAGUACGGCCGCAAGGCUAAAACUCAAAGGAAUUGACGGGGGCCCGCACAAGCGGCGGAGCAUGCGGAUUAAUUCGAUGCAACGCGAAGAACCUUACCAAGGCUUGACAUGUACGAGAAAGCCCCCGAGACGGGGUUCUCUUUGGACACUCGUACACAGGUGGUGCAUGGUUGUCGUCAGCUCGUGUCGUGAGAUGUUGGGUUAAGUCCCGCAACGAGCGCAACCCUCGUCCUAUGUUGCCAGCGGGUUAUGCCGGGGACUCAUGGGAGACUGCCGGGGUCAACUCGGAGGAAGGUGGGGAUGACGUCAAAUCAUCAUGCCCCUUAUGUCUUGGGCUUCACGCAUGCUACAAUGGCCGGUACAGAGGGCUGCGAUACCGUAAGGUGGAACGAAUCCCAAAAAGCCGGUCUCAGUUCGGAUUGGGGUCUGCAACUCGACCCCAUGAAGUCGGAG